rnacentral:rRNA from 1 species
AGUGAACGCUGGCGGUAGGCCUAACACAUGCAAGUCGAACGGCAGCACAGUAAGAGCUUGCUCUUACGGGUGGCGAGUGGCGGACGGGUGAGGAAUACAUCGGAAUCUACUUUUUCGUGGGGGAUAACGUAGGGAAACUUACGCUAAUACCGCAUACGAUCUACGGGUGAAAGCAGGGGAUCUUCGGACCUUGCGCGACUGAAUGAGCCGAUGUCGGAUUAGCUAGUUGGCGGGGUAAAGGCCCACCAAGGCGACGAUCCGUAGCUGGUCUGAGAGGAUGAUCAGCCACACUGGAACUGAGACACGGUCCAGACUCCUACGGGAGGCAGCAGUGGGGAAUAUUGGACAAAGGGCGCAAGCCUGAUCCAGCCAUACCGCGUGGGUGAAGAAGGCCUUCGGGUUGUAAAGCCCUUUUGUUGGGAAAGAAAAGCAGCAGGUUAAUACCCCGCUGUUCUGACGGUACCCAAUGAAUAAGCACCGGCUAACUUCGUG